CCCAGUCUACUGGUGUUAUUGUCAGAAGACAAUCAUGUAAGAAGGGAUUUAACUUGCUGUUCUGCCACUGACAAGGAGGAAAGGGCUGAAGGACAAGUUGCUCAUUCAUGGCCAAAGAGUUCUUGAGGCCCUGAGUGUGUGAGGGAAGACACAACGCAAAGGGAGCAAGAAAGCAGAGAAGACUCCACACAGGACAGAGAAGGAGAGUGGUCACCUACACCUGUCUUUGCAAGAUACACAACCUCAGUCCAGAGGCUGAAAAAAAAAGAGGAACUACAAACUUCCAGAUAUCAACAACACAUAGGAUCUUUGCUGUAAAGACGAUGAAAUAUGGUUAGACACCUUAGAGUCAAACCAGCUUUGGAAAGGACAAAGCAAAAGCUUAAUGGAGAGAACUGACUUAUCCCCAAACAAGUCAUCCCGUGUUCAGUCCAGGAGAAUGAAGAGCUCGCUCAUCUCCCAGAUUGGUACACAAUCGGCCUUCCACAUCCAUGGCCGUCACCUGGUGCCUCCCAGGACGUCAUCAGCAGAGGGCUGGAGGAGG